rnacentral:rRNA from 1 species
ACGGAGGGUGCAAGCGUUAUUCGGAUUGACUGGGCGUAAAGCGCGCGUAGGCGGCCCGCUAAGUCUGGUGUGAAAUCCCUGGACUCAAUCCAGGAAGUGCAUCGGAUACUGGCGGGCUGGAGUACAGGAGAGGAGGGCGGAAUUCCCGGUGUAGAGGUGAAAUUCGUAGAUAUCGGGAGGAACAACAGGGGCGAAGGCGGCCCCCUGGACUGUCACUGACGCUGAGGCGCGAAAGCGUGGGGAGCAAACAGGA